rnacentral:rRNA from 1 species
GGAGGGGGCGAGCGUUAUUCGGAAUUAUUGGGCGUAAAGGGCAGGCAGGCGGUCUUGUGUGUCCUCUGUGAAAGCCCUCGGCUCAACCGAGGAAUUGCAGGGGAAACUGCGAGACUUGAGUCCGGGAGAGGCUAGUGGAAUUCCCAGUGUAGCGGUGAAAUGCGUAGAUAUUGGGAGGAACACCAGUGGCGAAGGCGGCUAGCUGGACCGGUACUGACGCUGAACUGCGAAAGCCAGGGGAGCGAACGGGGAUUAGAUACCCCGGUAGUCCUGGCUGUAAACGAUGAGCACUUGGUGUGGCGGGUAUCGACCCCCUGCCGUGCCGAAGCUAACGCAUUAAGUGCUCCGCCUGGGGAUACGGUCGCAAGGCUG